GCUCGCAUAGUUUAACGGUGAGAACGCGGGGUCGAUACCUUCGUGGCAGGGGUUCGGCUCCUCUUGCGAGCGCCA
rnacentral:tRNA from 1 species